rnacentral:tRNA from 1 species
GCCUGCUUGGCUCAGUGGUAGAGCGUCUGUCUCGUAAACAGAAGAUCGGUGGUUCGAAUCCGCCAGUGGGCA